CCUACGGGACGCAGCAGUGAGGAAUAUUGGUCAAUGGUCGGGAGACUGAACCAGCCAAGCCGCGUGAGGGAGGAAGGUACAGAGUAUCGUAAACCUCUUUUGUCAGGGAACAAAGGCGGGGACGUGUCCCCGGAUGAGUGUACCUGAAGAAAAAGCAUCGGCUAACUCCGUGCCAGCAGCCGCGGUAAUACGGAGGAUGCGAGCGUUAUCCGGAUUUAUUGGGUUGAAGGGGUGCGCAGGCGGUCUGUUAAGUCAGCGGUAAAAGCCCGGGGCUCAACCCCGGCCCGCCGUUGAAACUGGCAGUCUCGAGUUGGAGAGAAGUAUGCGGAAUGCGCGGUGUAGCGGUGAAAUGCAUAGAUAUCGCGCAGAACUCCGAUUGCGAAGGCAGCAUGCCGGCUCCACACUGACGCUGAGGCACGAAAGCGUGGGUAUCGAACAGGAUUAGAUACCCCUGUAGUC
rnacentral:rRNA from 1 species